GUGGGGAAUAUUGCGCAAUGGUCGAAAGACUGACGCAGCGACGCCGCGUGUGGGAGGAAGCCCUUCGGGGUGUAAACCACUGUCGGGAGGGACGAACCGCGGACGGGCGAAUAGCCCGGACGCCUGACGGUACCUCCAAAGGAAGCACCGGCUAACCCUGUGCCAGCAGCCGCGGUAAUACAGGGGGUGCAAGCGUUGUUCGGAAUUACUGGGCGUAAAGCGCGGGCAGGUGGUUUUUUAAGUCCUUUGUGAAAUCCCGGAGCUCAACUCCGGAUGUGCAGAGGAUACUGAAAGACUGGAGACUGGUAGAGGCGAGCGGAAUUCCUGGUGUAGCGGUGGAAUGCGUAGAUAUCAGGAAGAACACCGGUGGCGAAGGCGGCUCGCUGGGCCAGUUCUGACACUCAUCCGCGAAAGCGUGGGGAGCAAACAGGAUUAGAAACCCGAGUAGUCC
rnacentral:rRNA from 1 species